UACAGAGGGUGCGAGCGUUGUCCGGAAUCAUUGGGCGUAAAGGGCGCGUAGGUGGUUCUGUAUGUCUACCGUGAAAGCAUACAGCUCAACUGUAUUUUGUCGGUAGAAACUGCAGGACUUGAGGCUGGGAGGGGCUGGUGGAAUUCCCUGUGUAGCGGUGAAAUGCGUAGAGAUGUGGAGGAACACCAGUGGCGAAGGCGACUCUUUGGCCUGUAACUGACACUGAGGCGCGAAAGCGUGGGGAGCAAACAGG
rnacentral:rRNA from 1 species